AGGGGAAGGAAGGAGGCCCGAGGUCUGUGUAGCAGAGAGAGGUUCCUGUCACCAGGGUGCUAUGGCUGGGCUCGGUGGAGCUCGUCCUGGCGAGGGAGCAGCCACCGCCCAGGAGCAGCCAGUGUCUGGUAGAUCAGACAUCCCUCAGGCUGGCGCCUUCCUGCCUGCUCCUGCCCCAGGCCUGGCUCCCUGGAUUCGACUCUCAUCUGAUGAAGGAGAUCUGUCUUGUACUCAACUCCUUAUCAGACACCGGAACACCUUGGGUGCUGCUCCUGAGUACUGCAAAGUGCCAGGUUAGCCCAUUGGAGGAGUACAAAUCAGAAAAUCAAAUGUGUCGCCUCUUGGAAACUGAGAAACGGAGCAGAGUGAUCCAGGACUCCAGACCAAGUCCUAAAGGCAGCUCCUGUGCAGCAGACAAGCUGCGAUGGACAGCAGGUCAGAGAGGAGGGAGCAAAACAGCUCUUGCAGGAGAACUGGGCACAGUCCCAGGAGGACCACACCAGUCCCCGCCCAGGGCAGCCGGGCCAGCCACCGCCACCUCUUCCAGGUCCACCCACUGGGGAGCCAGUGCCAACCCAUGAAGUCUCGGGGACAAAUCACAGGCAGAUCAUCGUGACCCGUUUAAAUCCUGAGUCUUCUAGAUCAGACUGGACUGUCAGCUACAGCACAAGCGUAUUACAUACAAGGGCUACAGCACACACACAUACAAGGUCACACACACAUUACAUACAAGGGCACACAUAUCACAUACAAGGGCUACAGCACACACACAUACAAGGUCACACACAUAUUACAUACAAGGGCACACAUAUUACACACAAGGGCUACAGCACACGCAUACAAGGUCACAUACAUAUUACAUACAAGGGCACACAUAUCACAUACAAGGGCACACAUAUUACAUACAAGGGCUACAGCACACACAUACAAGGGCACACAUAUUACAUAAAAGGACACACAUAUUACAUACAAGGGCUACAGCACACACAUAUUACAAGGGCUACAGCAUACGCAUAUUACAUACAAUGGCACAUGUAUUAUAAGGGCACACACAUUAACACAAGAGCUACAGCACAUGCAUGUUACAUGCAAGGGCUACAUCAAUGCAUGUUACAUGCAAAGGCUACAGCACACACAUAUUGCAUACAAGGGUGCACAUGUUACAU
rnacentral:lncRNA from 1 species